rnacentral:rRNA from 1 species
GACGAACGCUGGCGGCGUGCUUAACACAUGCAAGUCGAACGCUGAAGCUCAGCUUGCUGGGUGGAUGAGUGGCGAACGGGUGAGUAACACGUGAGUAACCUGCCCUCUUCUUUGGGAUAACGCCCGGAAACGGGUGCUAAUACUGGAUAUUCACUGAUUCUCGCAUGGGGGUUGGUGGAAAGGUUUUUUCUGGUGGGGGAUGGGCUCGCGGCCUAUCAGCUUGUUGGUGGGGUGAUGGCCUACCAAGGCUUUGACGGGUGGCCGGCCUGGGAGGGUGACCGGUCACAUUGGGACUGAGAUACGGCCCAGACUCCUACGGGAGGCAGCAGUGGGGAAUAUUGCACAAGGGGCGAAAGCCUGAUGCAGCGACGCCGCGUGAGGGAUGGAGGCCUUCGGGUUGUAAACCUCUUUCGCUCAUGGUCAAGCCGCAGCUUUGGGUUGUGGUGAGGGUAGUGGGUAAAGAAGCGCCGGCUAACUACGUG